AUAAUACUCCAUAGAUUAGAGACACUGGAAUGUUCUUUAGUCGAAAGUUCUGGCGCCUUAGGAUGGAUCUGCGUUCGAUUAGGUUGUUGUUGGGGUAACGGCCCAACAAGCCUGUAAUCGAUACGGGUUGUGGGAGCAAGAGCCCGGAGAUGGAAUCUGAGACACGAUUCCAGGCCCUACGGGGCGCAGCAGGCGCGAAAACUUUACAAUGCAGGAAACUGUGAUAAGGGAACUCCGAGUGCCCGUAUACGCGGGCUGUCCAGGUGUUUAAAAAUCAUCUGAAGAAAGGGCCGGGCAAGACCGGUGCCAGCCGCCGCGGUAAUACCGGCGGCUCGAGUGGUGGCCACUAUUAUUGGGCUUAAAGCGUCCGUAGCUGGACCGAUAAGUCUCUUGGGAAAUCCGCCGGCUCAACCGGCGGGCGUCUAAGGGAUACUGUUAGUCUAGGGACCGGGAGAGGUGAGAGGUACUCCGGGGGUAGGAGUGAAAUCCUGUAAUCCCCGGGGGACCACCGAUGGCGAAGGCAUCUCACCAGAACGGCUCCGACAGUGAGGGACGAAAGCUGGGGGAGCGAACCGGAUUAGAUACCCGGGUAGUCCCAGCCGUAAACUAUGCGCGUUAGGUGU
rnacentral:rRNA from 1 species